rnacentral:misc_RNA from 1 species
AGUCUCGUGCUUUGUGAUCGCCGGUGAGUUUGUUUGUUUAUGAAUUUUAUCUUUGGUUGCCGUGAAAAUUUCCUAAUGGAAGAGGAAAGUUUUGCUACAUCAUAAGCCCUAAUAGUAGAGCCUAUUUUUGUUUAGUCAAGCGGCAGAACCGGGGACUUUGUACUUAAAUGGGUGUAAUAUUUUUUUUCAAGCUGAGGUAAUAACAAUUUAGAGUUUAGUUUUGUGAAGUUUUGGUACCAAAUGGAUGUUUAGGUUUUUAUUGCUGUAUUAGUUUG